rnacentral:rRNA from 1 species
AGCGAACGCUGGCGGCAGGCCUAACACAUGCAAGUCGAGCGCCGUAGCAAUACGGAGCGGCAGACGGGAGAGUAACACGUGGGAACGUGCCCUUUGGUUCGGAAUAACUCAGGGAAACUUGAGCUAAUACCGGAUAAGCCCUUACGGGGAAAGAUUUAUUGCCAUUGGAGCGGCCCGCGCCGGAUUAGCUAGUUGGUGAGGUAAUGGCUCACCAAGGCGACGAUCCGUAGCUGGUCUGAGAGGAUGACCAGCCUCACUGGGACUGAGACACGGCCCAGACUCCUACGGGAGGCAGCAGUGGGGAAUAUUGGACAAUGGGCGCAAGCCUGAUCCAGCCAUGCCGCGUGGAUGAUGAAGGCCCUAGGGUUGUAAAGUCCUUUUAACGGGGAAGAUAAUGACGGUACCCGUAGAAUAAGCCCCGGCUAACUUCGUGCCAGCCGCCGCGGUAAAAC